UGAGUGGGCUAGGAAGAAAGAAAAAAGAGGGAGAUGAAAGCUGAAAGAUCUUGCGGAAAAUGUGGAAUUAGUGAAAAAGCAAGAGAAACCGGACAAGGAAGUAAAAGAGAAAACACGAGCGAAGCUCCGUCCGGAGGGAUUCUCAGACAGGACACGAGGACAAAGCGAGUGAAGGAACGGAAUGCCAACUGGAUAUGUAUUCAGCGCACUCUGAGCAGGGGUAUAAAAAACCAAGGGUCGUCUGACGCAGGACUCAGUUUAACGAGAGGAAGCGUCCUCGUGAGCCUUGAUCCUUUUAAAGCCCAUUCUCUCCGCUCGGACUAUACGAUGCAUCCAAAAUUUGAUGGAAUCAGAAUUAAUGAUUGCGGGUCCUCAGGAUCAACUAUCAACUGAACCCAUAACCUGAUUGCUCAUCAAAAAGGUUUUCAUUUGCUUAAUUGAAUUUUUUUUUAAUUUUAUAAAAAUAAAAAAAGUUUGUGCUGACCAUGAAGAUAGUCACACUGUUCUUUUGAAUGGUAAUUAUUCAGAUAUAUGGAGAACUAUAGAUAAAAAAACAAAGACGUUUUGUUUUGCUUGGAGGGAGCUUCUUCUUCGACAAACGUUUAAAAAAACGUCAUCGAAUUUGUACAAAAUCGUGAAGGUGAUUUCCUGAGGUCUUAACCGUUGCAUCCUGUGCGUAUUCGAACUAACGAGUGAUCGAGGUGAUUUAAUAAAUCAUAUUCUUUCGUUCACUUGAUUAUAUUUGGUCAACAUUCCCUCAGAAUUCCAAAAAUGUCGUGAACGAGAAUGAGCUCUUUUUAACGGAAUUUUCAUUGAAUCGGAAUCUCAUUUUAUAAGGGAAGAUCAUGCGUUACUUUUGCGAUUCAAAAAAGCAACUAAAAUUUUUUACUCUUUUGAUGAUUAAAGAAACGAUCAAAAUUUAUU
rnacentral:misc_RNA from 1 species